rnacentral:tRNA from 1 species
GGACCGGGUCGGAGGCGGCGUCGAGCCAAUUGGUGUUGAAGCCGCCAACGGCGCCCAGCGUGGCGCCGGAGUGGGGAUCAACCCUGAUUGGUCCUC